rnacentral:rRNA from 1 species
UACUGAUUAAUGGUUUUUUUUAUAAUAGAAUGAUAUUUUUUAAAUAAUUUUAAUAAUUAUUAGUUUAAUGAGAAUUUAUUAGAAAUUUAUUUUUAAAUGAGUGAUAAAUAAUUAUUGUUAUACAAGGAUUAGAUACCCUUUUAUAAAAUUUUUGAUUUUUAGUUCUUCAGUUUUAACUGAAAAAUUUUGGCAGUUAAUUUUCCUUCUAGGGGAUUGUGUUUAUUAAUCAGAUGGUCCACUGAAUAAUUUUUCUUUUUUAAGUUGGUGUAUAUCCGGUUUAUUUUUAAAAAUUAAUAUUUUUGAAGUAAUAUAGUUUUAUAUUUAAUCCAGGUCGAUAUGCUGCUGAUAUUAAGGUUUUAAUGCAAUACAUUAUAAUAAUAUUUUUGUAAUAUAAAUAUAUUUAGGACUUAGGAGUAAUAUAAAAUUAAUAUGUUUAUGUGAAGUAAGGAAUUAUUAAGGUACACAUCGCCCGUC